UCUCUUCUCGGUUUCACCCUCUCAGCUCGUCUCAUGCAGCCCGAGCUUGAAGUUAGUGUUUGUGUAAACGCUGAUUGUGAGUAAAAGCAGCUUGGCGGGGAUAACCAACACAUUAAAAGCGUAUAAAAAAUAAGAUUAAAAAAAUUAGCAAAUUCCCCCCGACGAACAAUUUUAACAAUCAAACCGUAUUAUGGUUGAAGCGGAGGCAGAAGAGGGGGCUGCCCGUGAGCGCCUGCGUUUCGUCAGCCUUUCAGGUUUUUUUUUUCUUUCCUUUUUUCUUUAAACUUUUCUUCCUGUCCUUUCUGCACUUUGAAUGGGCCGUAAUACAGCCGCUUUGGCACAGUACGCCUGCUUAAUCAGUAAACAUCUGUUUCCCACAGCCGUCCCAGUCGCAAUGAGGGCUGAUUGUGGAAAGCCUUUGAUAAAUAAAGGAGAGAGGGGGGAAAAAUAAGGAGAAAACGUAAUUUUAGAAUCCCAGAAAACCCUGCCGUGAGCCAAGCAAUGUUUUUCUUCUGACAAUCAUUCUAAUGAGAGUUGCGUGUAUUUAGACACCCGUCACCCUGGUAAAAAUAAAAAAGGAAUGAUGGAGCAAAAAGAAAGUUUAAACUUUGCUCAGGAAAGACUCACCAGCCUGAAUCUGGUUGAUAGGCCUAUGUAAUGAGGAAGAGAAACAGCAUUCCUGUAGGAUGAGAGCGAGAGAACAGGAACUAGAGUGUUUUGAUAGCUCUCCAUGAGGUUUAACAGGAACGGUGUGGACCAGGACUUACAUUCUAAGAGGGUGGUGAAGGACAGAGUGUGUCUGAGGACCCAGAAACAGCUUACAACUGCAGUCUGAAAGAGUCAUGCUUAAACCAAACCUGAAUCCUUGUUUUAAGCUUUACGCCCUGGAACAGAACAAUCUGGACCAUCAGGACAUAACAGGUCACUCCGGAGCCAAUCCAAGGGCUUCCUCAGCCCACUCUGAUCCUGUUCCGCCACGCUGUGUGAACACCGUUCCCGGUGCCCUUGCUAACUGUGUUUAGUCUCCAGAGCUUCACGGAGGUAAACCCUGUCUGGAGCGAAGGCAGGGAGCCUCUCAUGUGAUAUGACAGAGGAAGGUUCUGACAUUAAUUAGCAGGGCACCGUGGGCCGUGAAAUCCAAUAAGGCCUUGUAAUGGUACACAAUGUAUGCGAGCGAUGGGGAGACAUUAAAGUGGACGCCUGUCUGCCACCAUGAUGUCUGAAGGGCGACCUUGCACUUCCUGCCCAGGGCCAAGAGGCACAAACAGAGAGUAAGGUUACUGUCAUAAUGCGAAACAGACCGCGAGUUCGUAUGGAGGGGAGAACAUCUAC
ensembl:lncRNA